GGUUGACCUCGGAUCAGGUAGGGAUAACCCCGCUGAACUUUUAAAGCAUAUC
rnacentral:rRNA from 1 species